AAGGGACCCUCUGGAUGCUGGCAUAUGGGAGAAGCCACCACCCCCCCAAUUUAUAAUAAAUGAAUGUUGGAGUAAAUCUCUUCAUUAACCAGAUCGAGAGAGGAAUUUACACUCCAAAGUAAUCACUCAUAUCUUCAGCCACAAAAGCCCCAAAGACUCCACUUCCUGAACAUUCCCUUUAAUGGGGCAGACCUUUGCUGACCAGCUGAGUGCAAGGGUGACUUCAGCAGGUGGAUUCCAUGAAGUGAGCAGUUCAGAGCACACACAGCCACACUGCCUGCAAGCCUGUGGGUGGCUUUGGCAGACGAAAGCCCGUCCUUCAAGCAACUGAGGCAGGAGCCCAUUAAAGGUGUUAAUUUUACAUGAUGUGGCACGGAGAGUUUAUAAAUAAAUAACAAAUGAACAUUCCCCAUGGCUUCUCUCCUCUGAGUCUGUGUACCUGCUGCAGACCUGGCAACAGUGGGAGACUUUCAGAUGCCAGAUCCGGAAUUGCCCUUCAAAAACUAAGGAAGGAGGUAUUUCUGUCACUAAGACUUGACAACUUCUGAUGCCUUCAUCAUUGGGUCCAGUCACUUUUGAAAAAUAUCC
rnacentral:lncRNA from 1 species